AAUGAAUUAGAAUGACUUGGGAAAGUCAACCAUAGAAGGUGAAAGUCCUGUAUAAGUAAAGUUGUAUUACCUAGCAGUAUCCUGAGUAAGGCGGGACCGGAGAAAUCCCGUCUGAAUCUACCGGCACCAUCCGGUAAGGCUAAAUACUCCUGAGAGACCGAUAGUGAACUAGUACCGUGAGGGAAAGGUGAAAAGUACUCCGAACAGGAGAGUGAAAUAGUACCUGAAACCAUACGCUUACAAGCGGUCGGAGCCCAUUAGUUGGGUGACGGCGUGCCUUUUGCAUAAUGAGCCUACGAGUUAGUGUUGUUGGCAAGGUUAAUACAUUAAGUGUUGAAGCCGAAGCGAAAGCGAGUCUUAACAGGGCGAUCAGUCAGCAGUACUAGACGCGAAACUUGGUGAUCUACCCAUGACCAGGGUGAAGUGUAGGUAACACUACAUGGAGGCCCGAACCAGUUGACGUUGAAAAGUCUUUGGAUGAGUUGUGGGUAGGGGUGAAAGGCCAAUCAAACUGAGAGAUAGCUCGUACUCCCCGAAAUGCUUUUAGGAGCAGCGUGGAAGUUAGUUUAUCAGAGGUAGAGCUACCGAUUGGACUAGGGGGAGUCAAAUCCUACCAAAUCCAGACGAACUCCGAAUGCUGAUAAAUAUAUUCCGCAGUGAGGGCUUGGGUGCUAAGGUCCGAGUCCGAGAGGGAAAGAACCCAGACCUACAGCUAAGGUCCCUAAAUUUGUACUAAGUUGAACUAAGGAGGUUCAGCUGCUUAGACAGCCAGGAUGUUGGCUUGGAAGCAGCCAUUCAUUUAAAGAGUGCGUAACAGCUCACUGGUCGAGCGGCAGAGCAUCGAUAAUAAUCGGGCAUCAAGUACAAUACCGAAGCUUAGGAUCAUUUAUGAUGGUAGGGGAGCAUUCUCUAGACGACGAAGGUGUGACGCGAGUCAUGCUGGAGAGUAGAGAAGAGCAAAUGUAGGCAUAAGUAACGAUAAGGCAGGCGAGAAACCUGCCCACCGAUAGACUAAGGAUUCCCCGGCAAUGCUAAUCAGCCGGGGGUUAGUCGGGACCUAAGGCGA
rnacentral:rRNA from 14 species